rnacentral:rRNA from 1 species
UACAGAGGGUGCAAGCGUUAAUCGGAAUUACUGGGCGUAAAGCGUGCGUAGGCGGACACUUAAGUCGAAUGUGAAAUCCCCGGGCUUAACCUGGGAACUGCAUCCGAUACUGGGUGUCUGGAGUAUGGUAGAGGAAAGUGGAAUUCCCGGUGUAGCGGUGAAAUGCGUAGAUAUCGGGAGGAACAUCAGUGGCGAAGGCGACUUUCUGGACUAAUAUUGACGCUGAGGCACGAAAGCGUGGGGAGCAAACAGG